CCGUUGGUGAACCAGCGGAGGGAUCAUUACCGAGUUUACAACUCCCAAACCCCUGUGAACAUACCUAUACGUUGCCUCGGCGGAUCAGCCCGCGCCCCGUAAAAAGGGACGGCCCGCCCGAGGACCCCUAAACUCUGUUUUUAGUGGAACUUCUGAGUAAAACAAACAAAUAAAUCAAAACUUUCAACAACGGAUCUCUUGGUUCUGGCAUCGAUGAAGAACGCAGCAAAAUGCGAUAAGUAAUGUGAAUUGCAGAAUUCAGUGAAUCAUCGAAUCUUUGAACGCACAUUGCGCCCGCCAGUAUUCUGGCGGGCAUGCCUGUUCGAGCGUCAUUUCAACCCUCAAGCUCAGCUUGGUGUUGGGACUCGCGGUAACCCGCGUUCCCCAAAUCGAUUGGCGGUCACGUCGAGCUUCCAUAGCGUAGUAAUCAUACACCUCGUUACUGGUAAUCGUCGCGGCCACGCCGUAAAACCCCAACUUCUGAAUGUUGACCUCGGAUCAGGUAGGAAUACCCGCUGAACUUAAGCAUAUCAAUA
rnacentral:rRNA from 1 species